GAUGAACGCUGACAGAAUGCUUAACACAUCAGCAAUUGAUUGGUGGCGGACGGGUGAGUAACGCGUACAGAACUUGCCUCACAGGUAGGGACCACAUUUGGAAACGAAUGCUAAUACCCAAUAGUGUGAGAGAGCUUUGCGUCCCAUUAGCUAGUUGGAGAGGUAACGGCUCACCUAGGCGAGGAUGGGUAGCCGGCCUGGGAGGGUGAUCGGCCACAAGGGGACAGGGACAGGGCCCUUACUCAUACGGGGGGCAGCAGUGGGGAUUAGUGGACAAUGGACCGAAGUCUGAACCAGCAAUUCUGUGUGCACGAUGAAGUUUUCGGAAUGUAAAGUGCUUUCAGUUGGGAAGCGGUACCAACAGAAGAAGUGACGGCUAAAUACGUGCCAGCCGCCGCGGUAAUAC
rnacentral:rRNA from 1 species